GAAGUGCGAUAAGCAAUGCGAAUUGCAGAAUUCAGUGAAUCAUCGAAUCUUUGAACGCACAUUGCGCCCCUUGGUAUUCCAUGGGGCAUGCCUGUUCGAGCGUCAUUUGUACCCUCAAGCUUUGCUUGGUGUUGGGCGUUUUGUCCUCCUUGGAGGACUCGCCUUAAAACAAUUGGCAGCCGGCAUAUUGGUAUCGGAGCGCAGCACAAGUCGCACUUCUUUCCAUGAAUGUUGGCAUCCAUCAAGACUAUUUUUCACUCUUGACCUCGGAUCAGGUAGGGAUACCCGCUGAACUUAA
rnacentral:misc_RNA from 1 species